GAAAGGGCAAGCAAUGAUCUGUGCACAGAUUGCCACUGCAGCCAAAGUUACUAAAAUUUCUGGAGGUGGAAAUUUCAUUUGGCUACUUUUGCAUUAAAUUAUUCAUUACGUUUUUUUUUUCUUUGUGAAAUUUUAUGGAGGUGACAAUUAUUUAACUGGAUUUACAGAUAAAACUAAUAAUUACAGUAAUUACUACUCUCUCCCUGAUUGCCACUGGGUCUUGGUUUUUCUGGGAUAGUGUCCAGCCUCACGGAUCUGAAAUGAAAGUCUCUUCCAGCUUCUCUUCCUAUUUAAUCUGCUACUGCCUGUUAAGUCAGCUUCCCUUCACAGCAAAGACUGAGGCUGCUCUUGUUAGAUUAAACAUUCUCUUUCUAUCUGACCCAGCUUUCAACUUCAACUACUUAGUUAUAUCAUUGGUUGGGUAGCAGAAUUUGCCAGGAUGUCACCCAGUGGGAAAAUCAAUUCAUGAAAGAAGGGUGAACAUGAUUCAUUCUCUUGUAUGUAUUCCUAAGAGAGAGACUCACUGAAAAAGGACACAUCAUUUCAAAGUGAAGAGGAGGCC